rnacentral:rRNA from 1 species
CCUACGGGAGGCAGCAGUGGGGAAUAUUGGACAAUGGGCGAAAGCCUGAUCCAGCAAUGCCGCGUGAGUGAUGAAGGCCUUCGGGUCGUAAAGCUCUUUUACCAGGGAUGAUAAUGACAGUACCUGGAGAAUAAGCUCCGGCUAACUCCGUGCCAGCAGCCGCGGUAAUACGGAGGGAGCUAGCGUUGUUCGGAAUUACUGGGCGUAAAGAGUACGUAGGCGGUUAUUCAAGUCAGAGGUGAAAGCCCGGGGCUCAACCCCGGAACUGCCUUUGAAACUAGAUAACUAGAGUCUUGGAGAGGUUAGUGGAAUUCCGAGUGUAGAGGUGAAAUUCGUAGAUAUUCGGAAGAACACCAGUGGCGAAGGCGACUAACUGGACAAGUACUGACGCUGAGGUACGAAAGCGUGGGGAGCAAACAGGAUUAGAUACCCUGGUAGUCCACGCCGUAAACGAUGAUAACUAGUUGUUCGGUCACUUGGUGACUGAGUGACGCAGCUAACGCAUUAAGUUAUCCGCCUGGGGAUACGGUCGCAAGNUUAAAACUCAAAUGAAUUGACGGCUGAGAGNGCGAGACGACGACGAGGAGAG